rnacentral:rRNA from 1 species
UUGACCUCAAAUCAGGUAGGACUACCCGCUGAACUUAAGCAUAUCAAUAAGCGGAGGAAAAGAACUAACAAGGAUUCCCCUAGUACCUGCGAGUGAAGCGGGAAAAGCUCAA